rnacentral:rRNA from 1 species
GUGGGGAAUAUUGGACAAUGGGCGAAAGCCUGAUCCAGCCAUGCCGCGUGUGUGAAGAAGGCCUUUUGGUUGUAAAGCACUUUAAGCGAGGAGGAGGCUACCGAGAUUAAUACUCUUGGAUAGUGGACGUUACUCGCAGAAUAAGCACCGGCUAACUCUGUGCCAGCAGCCGCGGUAAUACAGAGGGUGCGAGCGUUAAUCGGAUUUACUGGGCGUAAAGCGUGCGUAGGCGGCUUUUUAAGUCGGAUGUGAAAUCCCUGAGCUUAACUUAGGAAUUGCAUUCGAUACUGGGAAGCUAGAGUAUGGGAGAGGAUGGUAGAAUUCCAGGUGUAGCGGUGAAAUGCGUAGAGAUCUGGAGGAAUACCGAUGGCGAAGGCAGCCAUCUGGCCUAAUACUGACGCUGAGGUACGAAAGCAUGGGGAGCAAACAGGAUUAGAUACCCUAGUAGUCC